GGCCUCCCGACCGGAACUUCCUCCUGAGCGACGGGGAGGAGUCCGCUUCUGCCGCCUAGCACAGCUCUGCGCCUCGGCUCUGACAGGAGCUCUGGGCUCCCUGCUGACGACUUUGGGGUGUGUGUUGCGGAGGGGUUCGGGGUCCACCUCUUUGUGCGUUGGUGGUGACGAUCAUUUGUUCUAGCUGGGAGACAGUCCCCUUCUUGGCCCUGCGCUGAAUUGUCCUGAGAUUAAUGGUGAAGAUUAGGUAACAUUAACACAACGUCUUCGUUAGUUAUAUGAAAUUACAUUUUAGAACUUUUUUUUAAAAAGCUUAACAGCUGUUUUUAUAUUGUGCUUAAUUCAGAAAUAGUUACCAUUUUGCUCUUAUAUGGCUCAGACAAACUAAUGUUAUUUUGCCACACUAUACCCAAGAUCUUCUUUAAAAUUAUAGAUUUAUUUCAAAUAGGCCACAUAUUGCCUCAACACUGCAUUACUUUCACCAAUUUAUAAUUUAGGCACCUGUUCUUUGAAAACGACUGCUUUGAGGAAUAAACUGCCACCUUCUGCUUCUACGUGACACCAGGCAGGGACUACAAAAGUGCUUCCCAGAUGAAAGAUAAGAAUAGGGUCCACUCUACAAACACUGUGAUUUUGGUUGCUGGGGAAAAUGGUUACAAACAUAGUAGUUCAGUCUUUCACUCUUGGUAGAUUGUAAGCAUAGCGUACCAAAGGGAAUCCUCGACUCUGGUAGAAGCAGGCACGUCCGCAGGCCUGCACCUGGUCAGAACUGUCU